GUAAGGUAGGCUAUGCUGAGCGAGCAACUGCGUUUGUAGACUGACCUACAGCCUACGCGUUGGCCCAGUAGUCAGCGUUUGCAAACGUCAGAUCCGACAAAUGAUUUAAAUCGUCAGUCCUUUCGCGACGGGUGCAGUGUGGACUGAGAAAACUGACUCACCUCACUAAAUCUUCAUGAAGAAGUCUCCACGCGUUAUUUUAAUGUUACAAUCAGAAUCGAAAGUCAGAGGCUACGUUAUCGAACACAGCAGGCUAACUAUCCAUUUGGUUCUCUUCGACGCAAAACAGCUACAUUUGCAGACGGACUGGAACUGACAUAGGAUAUGUAAGGUGCGCAGACGGAACAGCGCCGGCGAAUCACCUCGCGGGAAAACGUCAAGAAAACACCUGUGACUUUCCCUUUUGCUUCCAAGAAGGUUUCCACCCGAGAGAAGGAAACGUUUCUCUUAUCUUGCAAAUGCUGCAGAUAAGCGAAACGCUUGAAACCUAUUGGUGAUGGAAUACUUGGUCAUCUCACGACGCACACCAAGAGAUUAUUGAUUGAUAAUCCGUGAAAGAUUUGAAGCGGUAUCUUUUUCGAACGAAUUGUUUGUCUAGCGCUGUAUUUUAUUCUUAUCUCCCAAUGUGGGAACACGUGCUAAGCAAUUGAGGCCGGUUUCCCAUAUAUGGAUUACACCUAGUCUUUGACAAAAAGAAUCAUUCUAUAAAGAUCUCCACUGAAAACAUUUUUAGUCUUGGACUAGGUUUAAUCAAUGUCUGGAAAACCAGCCCUAGGUGUAUAAAAAGGUAGCCUAUAAAUUAAUUCUGUAGCCAUAUUUUUGCACGUGUGAAGCAGCCUAGUUUGGUAAAAGGCGCUGUGGUUAUUUUAGUUUACCUCAUAACCAGAGAACAAUUGUCUUUACCCGUGUUUUUUAUUCUGAAAAUAUAUCUCCAGAAUCUAUAAAUUACCAGCCUAACAAACAGAACACUUGAUCGAAUUGAAUGCAACUAAAUUCUUACUGAAGAAAAAACAAAACUUGGCUUAAAAAAAGCCAAAAAAAACUUAAACUGGCUUUUUACCGGCCUACAUGUCAUCACCAAAGAAACCACCCAAAAUAUUGUAAUUUCAUCUCAGGGACGCGUCCAAGUUGCUACUGAAAUAUAAUCAGUAUAUUUACAAUGGUAAGAUGAAUUUGGGGAAAGAAAAGGCUUUAAUACGACACGCAGUUGGCGAAUACCAGGUCGCUCUUAUAUCCUGGAUGGCGGUGAGUGGCCGUUCAGCCACUCUAAACGAGAGAACGAGAAACAGUUACCAAGCAACUAGCAAAAGUAAUCGCCAUCGCCAGGUGGCGCAUUCCGUCCGUGGGUCACAGCGUUGCGUGGCGAGGGCGGGGGUAAUAAGUACAGUCCUGAGUCUUUCGGUCAAAUAGCUGGUGUCAGGUGAUGGCAUCUUCCAACUGACAGUAGUAGUGUGUAUCACUUGAAGGUGCUGAGCUUGAAGCGCUGGUCAGAGACGGGUUGGAGGGGAGCUGGCUGGUAACAGCUGGAAACAGUUGUCAGGUUUCCAUUGCAUGGGGCUGAGUAAAGAUGAGUAUGUGGAACACUUCUGCAAGUGAUGCAAGAGGGCCCAGGGGUUGGAAAACCUGCAUUGCUGCCUCAUUUAUUCCUCAUAUCAGUUAUGAUCAAUUUAUGAAGAUUAAAACUAUGAUGCAUGUGUAGGUAUUCAGGUAAGCUACAAGGCACGUCUAAAAAUAAUUUAUACCCCACUGCAUCACUGGGGAAAAACGCAUGUAAACCUACAGUUCACAACAGCAACCCCUAAUGGAGAUUAGUAUUGCAAACAGAAAAAACAAUAACAAAGUUCUCCACUUUCAACAGCAGCCCUCCUGUUAUAGUUGAAUUAUAGACAUCCAGGAUCAAUUGCAGUGUACCAUAUGUAGGAGACUAGCAUGGGUUUUACUCUAGACCCUACAUAUUUUAUAAACCAAGUUUCAGACCCUUGAACUUUCUGGGUGCUCACCAGCUAAUUUUCUUGUCUUUUUUUGAUCACAUUCCCUACACCUGCUGCAGAUCAGAUUUUGCAAAAGGCUGAACACAAUUAACUACUCUUUGUACUUCACCCACAUCUUUCCACCGUACAUAUACAGCACGUACAGCAUAAAUAUAUUUCUGUGUAUUUUGUUACACUUUAAAAUAGAAGAAAUACUUACAGCUGAAGUCGGAAGUUUACAUACACUUAGGUUGAAGUCAUUAAAACUCAUUUUUAACCACUCCACAGAUUUCAUGUUAGCAAACUAUAGUGUUGGCAAGUCAGUUAGGACAUCUACUUUGUGCAUGACACAAGUAAUUUUUCCAACAAUUGUUUACAGACAGAUUAUUUCACUUUUAAUUCACUAUAUCACAAUUCCAGUGGGUCAGGGGUUAGGGUACACUAAGUUGACUGUGCCUUUAAACAGCUUGGAAAAUUCCAGAAAAUUAUGUCAUGGCUUUAGAAACUUCUUAUAGGCUAAUUGACAUUAUUUGAGUCAAUUGGAGGUGUACCUGUGGAUGUAUUUUAAGGCCUACCUUCAAACUCAGUGCCUGUUUGCUUGACAUCAUGGGAAAAUCAAAAGAAAUCAGCCAAGACCUCAGAAAGAAAAUUGUGGACCUCCACAAGUCUGGUUCAUCCUUGGGAGCAAUUUCCAAAUGCUUUGGUGUGAAAAGUGCAAAUCAAUCACAGAACAACAGCAAAGGACCUUGUGAAGAUGCUGGAGGGAACAGGUACAAAAGUAUCUAUAUCCACAGUAAAAACGAGAAAUGUCCUCUGGUCUGAUGAAACAAAAGUGCAACUGUUUCAUAAUGCCAUAAUGAUCAUCGUUUGGAGGAAAAAGGGUGAGGCUUGCAAGCCGAAGAACACCAUCCCAACUGUGAAGCAGAGGGGUGGCAGCAUCAUGUUGUGGGGAUGCUUUGCUGUAGGAGGGACUGGUGCACUUCACAAAAUAGAUGGUAUCAUGAGGAAGAAAAAUUAUGUGGAUAUAUUGAAGCAACAUCUCAACACAUCCGCCAGGAAGUUAAGGCUUGGUUGCAAAUGGCUCUUCCAAAUGGACAAUGACCCAAAGCAUACUUCUAAUGUUGUGGAAAAAUGGCUUAAGGACAACAAAGUCAAGGUAUUGGAGUGGCCAUCACAAAGUCCUGACCGCAAUCCAGUCGAAAAUUUGUUGGCAGAACUGAAAAGGCAUGUGCGAGCAAGGAG